rnacentral:other from 1 species
AGUCUCCUGAGGUGUUCGCCAGCUGGUGUCGUCCUCGAACCGUUGAGAAAACCAAGGGGGCUCCGCUGCGAGAGCGGUGCGCAAGCCCGGUCCGGCCCCCCGACGCCAUGGCGUCGACACAGAGGCCGCUUCGGGAAGCCUUGGGCACUCGCAUGAACCCCCGCUCUGAACCCGAACGGUUCAGGGCAAACCAGGCAGCGGCGCCAUCGGGAGACGG